rnacentral:lncRNA from 1 species
AACCACAGGCUAUGGAUUGUUCAUCUAGGGAGAAAUCCUCUGAGGAGUGUUCAAGAUGUGAAGGCCAUAAACUCUAGGGCAGAGCAGCCCCAGGGCCUUGCCUGGCCCCCCUUGCACGCUGCAGGUCUGUGUCAAGCCAUGGACACAGCUCUCUGUUCCGGAGGAUGGAGUGUGUUAAAAUUGUUAAGAGUAAGGCCUACUUUAAGAGAUGCAGGUGUUUCCUAUCGUUUCUGUUACUUGAGACUACCUGCUCUUCCAUCUUGCCCAGAGACCACAUGUUGAAAUUCCGGGUCGGAGGUAUUCUUUGAGCUAUUAGAUUCUAGGUAAGGCCUGUGGACAUGUGGAGUGUUUUUGGUAAAAGAUUAUAAGAAGGCAUGGAAAUGUGGGAGUUUUUUGGCUACACUAGUUUAGAGGGUUAAAGGUUUUAACUAAGAUAGCAUAAAGCUGAAGGUUUGAGCAAGUUGUGAUAGGUUU